AGACGGGAAAUUUCUGUGCAGUACAUUGAAAGCAGUGAGUCAGAGGAAAUUGAGAUAAACGAAUUGCCCCAGAAAAUGAAAGGAAAACUGAAAAAUACACAAUCAGAAACUAAAAGCAUAAGAGCAGGGACUUCUAAGGUCAAAGAAGAUGCAGCAUUCGCAUGUGCACUUGGUGUAUCUACUCCUGCACCGAAGAGGAAAAUGUUGAA